CCUACGGGAGGCAGCAGUGGGGAAUAUUGCGCAAUGGGCGAAAGCCUGACGCAGCGACGCCGCGUGAGGGAUGAAGGUCUUCGGAUCGUAAACCUCUGUCAGCAGGGAAGAACGGUCACGGGGCUAAUCAGCAGUGAAUGGACGGUACCUGCAAAGGAAGCACCGGCUAACUCCGUGCCAGCAGCCGCGGUAAUACGGAGGGUGCGAGCGUUAAUCGGAAUUACGGGGCGUAAAGCGCUCGUAGGCGGUAUGUCAAGUCAAGGGUGAAAUCCCCGCGCUCAACGUGGGAACUGCCUUUGAAUCUGGCAACCUGGUGUGUGUGAGAGGCUAGUGGACUUCCCGGUGU
rnacentral:rRNA from 1 species